rnacentral:rRNA from 1 species
UAGGGAAUCUUCCACAAUGGGCGCAAGCCUGAUGGAGCAACACCGCGUGAGUGAAGAAGGGUUUCGGCUCGUAAAGACUCUGCUGUUAAAGAAGAACACGUAUGAGAGUAACUGUUCAUACGUUGACGGUAUUUAACCAGAAAGUCACGGCUAACUACGUGCCAC